rnacentral:tRNA from 4 species
CCUCUAUCCCCAUCCCCA